rnacentral:rRNA from 1 species
GACUAACGCUGGCGGCGUGCCUAAUACAUGCAAGUCGCACGCAGUGGGGACGGGUGAGUAACACGUGGGUAACCUCCCAUCAGAGGGGAUAACACUUGGAAACAGGUGAUAAACCGAUCAUGCUGGAUGGCUCAGCGGUACAUUAGCUAGUUGGUGAGGUAACGGCUCACCAAGGCCACGAUGCAUAGACGACCGUGGAGGGUGAUCGGCCACCCUGGGACUGAGACACGGCCCAGACUCCUACGUGAGGCAGCGGUAGGGAAUGUUCGUCAAUGGGCGACAGCUGGACCGAGCGGUGCCGCGUGAGUGAAGAAGUUCUUCAGAUCGUAAAGCUCGGUAGGUAGAGUGGCGGUAUCGAACCAGAAAGCGACGUCUAACUUCGUGCCAGCCGCGGCGGUAAUAC